rnacentral:tRNA from 1 species
GCGCCUGUAGCUCAAUUGGAUAGAGCAUCUGCCUUCGGAGCAGAGGGUUGCAGGUUCAAGUCCUGCCAGGCGCGC